GCUGGGUGGGGUGGUGCACACCUGUAAUCCCAACAGCUCCAGAGGCUGAGGCAGGAGGAUUGAGAGUUCAAAACCAGUCUCAGCAGAGGUGUGGUGCUAAAGCAACUCAGUGAGACCCUGUCUCUA
rnacentral:sRNA from 1 species